UUGGAUGUGGUGUAAUGGUAGCACGGCUGCUUGUGUCGCAGUGAGCAUGGGCCUGCCUGCCGGCAGGCAGGUUCGAUCCCCAUCAUCUGAC
rnacentral:tRNA from 1 species